rnacentral:rRNA from 1 species
GAUGAACGCUGGCGGCGUGCCUAACACAUGCAAGUCGAACGAGAUGCGUAUUGGAAAGCUUCGGCCGGAAGAUGCGUUAUCUAGUGGCGGACGGGUGAGUAACACGUGGGUAACCUGCCUUAUGGAGGGGGAUAACAGAGAGAAAUCACUGCUAAUACCGCAUAAGCACACAUUGCCGCAUGGCAGAGUGUGAAAAGAUUUAUCGCCAUAAGAUGGACCCGCGUCUGAUUAACCAGUUGGCAGGGUAAAAGCCUACCAAAGCAACGAUCAGUAGCCGAUCUGAGAGGAUGACCGGCCACAUUGGGACUGAGACACGGCCCAAACUCCUACGGGAGGCAGCAGUGGGGAAUAUUGCACAAUGGGGGAAACCCUGAUGCAGCGACGCCGCGUGAGUGAAGAAGUAUUUCGGUAUGUAAAGCUCUAUCAGCAGGGAAGAUAAUGACAGUACCUGACUAAGAAGCCCCGGCUAACUACGUG